rnacentral:rRNA from 1 species
GUCCCCCAAAUACAGUGGCGGUCCCGCCGCAGCUUCCAUCGCGUAGUAGCUAACACCUCGCGACUGGAGAGCGGCGCGGCCACGCCGUAAAACACCCCAACUCUUCUGAAGUUGACCUCGAAUCAGGUAGGAAUACCCGCUGAACUUAAGCAUAUCAAUAAGCGGAGGAAAAGAAACCAACAGGGAUUGCCCCAGUAACGGCGAGUGAAGCGGCAACAGCUCAAAUUUGAAAUCUGGCUCUCGGGCCCGAGUUGUAAUUUGUAGAGGAUGCUUUUGGUGAGGUGCCUUCCGAGUUCCCUGGAACGGGACGCCAUAGAGGGUGAGAGCCCCGUCUGGUUGGACGCCGAACCUCUGUAAAGCUCCUUCGACGAGUCGAGUAGUUUGGGAAUGCUGCUCUAAAUGGGAGGUAUAUGUCUUCUAAAGCUAAAUACCGGCCAGAGACCGAUAGCGCACAAGUAGAGUGAUCGAAAGAKAAAAGAACUUKAAAAGAGAGUUAAACAGUA